AGUGGGAUAACUGGGUCAAAUGGUAGUUCCAUUCCAAAUUUUCUGAGGAAUCUCCAUAAUGCUUUCCAGAGUGGUUGCACCAAUUUGUAGCCUCACCAGAAAU
rnacentral:pre_miRNA from 1 species